UACAUAGGGGGCUAGCGUUAUCCGGAAUUACUGGGCGUAAAGGGUGCGUAGGUGGUUUCUUAAGUCAGAGGUGAAAGGCUACGGCUCAACCGUAGUAAGCCUUUGAAACUGGGAAACUUGAGUGAAGGAGAGGAGAGUGGAAUUUCUAGUGUAGCGGUGGAAUGCGUAGAUAUUAGAAGGAACACCAGUGGCGAAGGCGACUUUCUGGACUGUAACUGACGCUGAGGCACGAAAGCGUGGGUAGCGAACAGGAUUAGAUACCCCUGUAGUCCCUGAGCGGG
rnacentral:rRNA from 1 species